GCCCAGACUCCUACGGGAGGCAGCAGUGGGGAAUAUUGGGCAAUGGGCGCAAGCCUGACCCAGCAACGCCGCGUGAAGGAAGAAGGCUUUCGGGCUGUAAACUUCUUUUAUUCGGGACGAAGAAAGUGACGGUACCGAAUGAAUAAGCCACGGCUAACUACGUGCCAGCAGCCGCGGUAAUACGUAGGUGGCAAGCGUUAUCCGGAUUUAUUGGGCGUAAAGGGCGUGUAGGCGGGAAUGCAAGUCAGAUGUGAAAACUAUGGGCUCAACCCAUAGCCUGCAUUUGAAACUGUAUUUCUUGAGUGCUGGAGAGGCAAUCGGAAUUCCGUGUGUAGCGGUGAAAUGCGUAGAUAUCAGGAGGAACACCGGUGGCGAAGGCGGCCUGCUGGACUGCAACUGACGUUGAGGCCCGAAAGCGUGGGGAGCAAACAGGAUUAGAUACCCCGGUACGA
rnacentral:rRNA from 1 species